rnacentral:rRNA from 1 species
GCCACACCAUGCUGAAUAUACCGGUUCUCGUUAGAUCACCGAAGUCAAGCAUCAUUGAGCGCGGUCAGUACUUGGGUGGGUGACCACCUGGGAAAGUUGG